GAUGAACGCUGGCGGCGUGCCUAAUACAUGCAAGUCGAGCGAACAGACGAGGAGCUUGCUCCUCUGACGUUAGCGGCGGACGGGUUAGUAACACGUGGAUAACCUACCUAUAAGACUGGGAUAACUUCGGGAAACCGGAGCUAAUACCGGAUAAUAUAUUGAACCGCAUGGUUCAAUAGUGAAAGACGGUUUUGCUGUCACUUAUAGAUGGAUCCGCGCCGCAUUAGCUAGUUGGUAAGGUAACGGCUUACCAAGGCAACGAUGCGUAGCCGACCUGAGAGGGUGAUCGGCCACACUGGAAAUGAGACACGGACCAGAAGCGUACGGGAGGCAGGAGUAGGGAAUCUUCCGGAAUGGGCGAAAGCUUGACGGAGCAACGCCGCGUGAGUGAUGAAGGGCUUCGGAUCGUAAAACUCUGUUAUUAGGGAAGUACAAAUGUGUAAGUAACUAUGAACGUCUUGACGGUACCGAAUCAGAAAGCCACGGCUAACUACGU
rnacentral:rRNA from 1 species